rnacentral:rRNA from 1 species
UACAGAGGUCCCAAGCGUUACUGAGAAUCACUGGGUUUAAAGGGUGCGUAGGUGGUCCGUUAAGUCCGUUGUGAAAUCCCCGAGCUCAACUCGGGAACUGCUUCGGAUACUGGCGGACUUGAGGCCAGUAGGGGUCACUAGAACUGACGGUGGAGCGGUGAAAUGCGUAGAUAUCGUCAGGAAUGCCGGUGGUGAAGACGGGUGACUGGGCUGGUUCUGACACUGAGGCACGAAAGCGUGGGGAGCGAAC